UACGUAGGGUGCGAGCGUUAAUCGGAAUUACUGGGCGUAAAGCGUGCGUAGGCGGUUCGUUAAGUUCGUUUGUGAAAGCCCCCGGGCUCAACCUGGGAACUGCAAUGGAAACUGGCGGGCUUGAGUGUGGCAGAGGGGGGGUAGAAUUCCACGUGUAGCAGUGAAAUGCGUAGAGAUGUGGAGGAAUACCAAUGGCGAAGGCAGCCCCCCUGGGAUAAUAUUGACGCUCAUGCACGAAAAGCGUGGGGGAGCAAACAGG
rnacentral:rRNA from 1 species